AUGGCUCAGGACGAACGGCUGGCGGCGUGCCUAAUACAUGCAAGUCGAACGGUCUUUCUAUGGAAGCUUGCUUCCACUGAGAAGAUAGUGGCGAACGGGUGAGUAACACGUGGGUAACCUGCCCAUAAGAGGGGGAUAACAUCCGGAAACGGGUGCUAAUACCGCAUAGUUUUCUUGAUCGCAUGAUCGGGAAAGGAAAGACGGCCUUUGUGCUGUCGCUUAUGGAUGGACCCGCGGCGUAUUAGUUAGUUGGUGAGGUAACGGCUCACCAAGACGAUGAUACGUAGCCGACCUGAGAGGGUGAUCGGCCACAUUGGGACUGAGACACGGCCCAAACUCCUACGGGAGGCAGCAGUAGGGAAUCUUCCGCAAUGGACGAAAGUCUGACGGAGCAACGCCGCGUGAGUGAAAGAAGGUUUUCGGAUCGUAAAACUCUGUUGUCAGAGAAGAACAAGUUGGAGAGUAACUGCUCCAGCCUUGACGGUAUCUGACCAGAAAGCCACGGCUAACUACGUGCCAGCCGCGGC
rnacentral:rRNA from 1 species